rnacentral:misc_RNA from 1 species
UUUCCGUAGGUGAACCUGCGGAAGGAUCAUUCAUAAUAAGUGUACUACUGCACUUUUGAAAAAUAGUACUCACCUUGUGUGCAAUGUUGUGUGGAAUUCCUACUUUCGAGGGAGAAUUUCACACCUACACCAACCUAUAAACUUGAAAUACUUUGUCUGAAAAACUAUUAUGAAUACUUUAUUCAAAAUACAACUUUCAACAACGGAUCUCUUGGCUCUC